GACGAACGCUGGCGGCGUGCUUAACACAUGCAAGUCGAACGGAAAGGCCCUGCUUUUGUGGGGUGCUCGAUUGGCGAACGGGUGAGUAACACGUGAGUAACCUGCCCUUGACUUUGGGAUAACUUCAGGAAACUGGGGCUAAUACCGGAUAGGAGCUCCUGCUGCAUGGUGGGGGUUGGAAAGUUUCGGCGGUUGGGGAUGGACUCGCGGCUUAUCAGCUUGUUGGUGGGGUAGUGGCUUACCAAGGCUUUGACGGGUAGCCGGCCUGAGAGGGUGACCGGGCACAUGGGGACUGAGAUACGGCCCAGAAUCAUACGGGAGGCAGCAGUGGGGAACAUUGCACAAUGGGCGGAAGCCAGAUGCAGCAACGCCGCGUGCGGGAUGACGGCCUUCGGGUGGUAAACCGCUUUCGCAUGUGACGAAGCGGGAGUGACGGUAAUGGGUAAAGAAGCACCGGCUAACUACGUG
rnacentral:rRNA from 1 species